rnacentral:rRNA from 1 species
AUUGAACGCUGGCGGCAGGCCUAACACAUGCAAGUCGAACGAGUGGCGGACGGGUGAGUAAUGUCUGGGAAACUGCCCGAUGGAGGGGGAUAACUACUGGAAACGGUAGCUAAUACCGCAUACCAUCGGAUGUGCCCAGAUGGGAGUGGCUUGUAGGUGAGGUAACGGCUCACCUAGGCGACGAUCUCUAGCUGGGCUGCGAGGAUGACCAGCCACACGGGAACUGAGACACGGUCCAGACUCCUAGGGGAGGCAGCAGGGGGGAAUAUUGCACAAUGGGCGCAAGCCUGAUGCAGCCAUGCGGCGUGUAUGAAGAAGGCCUGCGGGUUGUAAAGUACUUUCAGCGGGGAGGCGUUACCCGCAGAAGAAGCACCGGCUAACACCGUGCCAGCCGCCGCGGUAUAC